AGAGAGCCUAGAAAAUAUCACCUAGUGAAUAUCUACUUCCAUGAGGUGGAUAUUGAGGGAGAAACAGAAAAAUCCAAGACAAUCCCUUGUGGAAGAAAAUUCUCCAACCCAAAACUCAACCGAACUCAAAGGGCUGAACAGCGCGUCAAUUAAGACCUGUCAAAUAUAAUCACACGAUCUAAUAGUUUUAAAUACGCAAAAUAAAGAGCACCAAAGUAAAUGUCAUUCAGAAAUAACAACAACAAAACCAGAGCACCCCGAUGCAUUUAGGCCUCAAGGAAUUCCAAAGUAGUGUAUUAGGUAUAGUAAAUAUAUAUGUAAUUAGAAAUGUUUAGAGAAAUUAGAGAGAUGUGUUUUUUUUAAAAGAUUUGGCCUAUAAAACAGUUAACAAUUCCAGUAAAGAAGAAAACAGAAAUUCAAUGUUUGAUAUACAUACAUAAAAAUAAAUUUCAGGAAAAGUCCGUGUGAUAACAGAAUCCAAAUUAUAUAAAAGAUAGAAAUCUCAAUGUUUGUUUUUACACAUUUUAAGGAAAAAACAACCCUGAAAGCACAAA
rnacentral:lncRNA from 1 species